rnacentral:rRNA from 1 species
GAUGAACGCUGGCGGCGUGCUUAACACAUGCAAGUCGAACGAAGCACCUUGAUUCGAUUCUUCGGAUGAAGAUCUUGGUGACUGAGUGGCGGACGGGUGAGUAACGCGUGGGUAACCUGCCUCAUACAGGGGGAUAACAGUUAGAAAUGACUGCUAAUACCGCAUAAGACCACCGCACCGCAUGGUGCAGGGGUAAAAACUCCGGUGGUAUGAGAUGGACCCGCGUCUGAUUAGGUAGUUGGUGGGGUAACGGCCUACCAAGCCGACGAUCAGUAGCCGACCUGAGAGGGUGACCGGCCACAUUGGGACUGAGACACGGCCCAAACUCCUACGGGAGGCAGCAGUGGGGAAUAUUGCACAAUGGGGGAAACCCUGAUGCAGCGACGCCGCGUGAGCGAUGAAGUAUUUCGGUAUGUAAAGCUCUAUCAGCAGGGAAGAAAAUGACGGUACCUGACUAAGAAGCACCGGCUAAAUACGUG